GUGUUAGCUGCCCCAGCACAUACACUAAGAUUGGCCCAUAUAGAGAAGAUUAGCGUGGCCUCUGUGUAAGGAAAACCCGAAAGUCCGUGAAGCAUUCCUAAUUAAA